ACUCGUUUUUCUUCCACCGCUGAGGCAAAUGCGGGGUGGCUGAUCACCUGGCAGACAUCUUAGGAAACACGAGCACCGGUCUGGGAAACUGCUGGCCUGGCCUAACACCUGGCGCUGUGGUGCAGGCAAGAGGGCAGCCACCGAGGAUUCUUGAGAGACCGUAGAGUGAAUGAAAGAGUUGGAAAGACUUUAAAGCUCUGGGAGGCUGAAUCCUUUAUUUCGCUGGAAGAAAAACUGAAAGCCAAGAGGGCCAUGCUUUCCCCAAAGCUUUACAGCCAUCAGGGGCAAUGCUGGGACUCCCCCAUGGAUCUCUUGACUCCUAAUACAGUGCUCUUUCUGAUAUGCCAUCUGGCUCCGUAAUGAACAUCGUGUUCCAGGAAAAUCAGUCUGCGCUGAACAGGAUGGAAUUGGGGCAGGAUGUCCAGUGAGGAGGACAUUGAGGCAGUAGAGCAGUUGAUUGCCAAAUGACCACCUACCCUGACUUAAAAGAUCAACCUCAGGGUGGAUUGGAGCUUUCUAGAGUCUCUUGGGACAGCAGAAACACAGGCCGGGUUGGACUGAAUCUUUAAGUGGGACAUGAGGGACAAAGUACCUCCUGUUGGUAAACAUCUCACCACCAGCCCACUGUGGUGGCUA
rnacentral:antisense_RNA from 1 species